rnacentral:sRNA from 1 species
GGGUUACUCCUGCGCUUGCGCGCUGUUUUGAAUAAAGAUUCGCACCUCUAUCAAAACGGGUAACCCCACCUACUGGCAAGGCCUACUGUCAGAUCAAGUCUGAACUUCUACAAUUAAGCCUCCCUCGCCUCUAGCCGUUUAAUCUCAAACAGCCGACUUGUAGGAGUGGUUUUAGCCAAGAAAGCGUGAUGUAU